AAGUCGUAACAAGGUUUCCGUAGGUGAACCUGCGGAAGGAUCAUUAACACGUAUCCACGUACCUACUAGUAAAACUUUUUGGUGUCAUGAGCUCUCAGCGACCAAGAACAUGAGACCCGCAAACGGUAGAGUUCCUUCGGGAACUGUCUCCUUGGUAGAGGGCCAUAAAGUCUUGAGAUUUUUGACAUUAAACAUCUCCCGAGUCUUCUGCUUGCAGAGGGCUUGUAGUUUCUGGCUGCCGUUUUGUACUUGGUUGUCCCCAAUUUUUCACCAGUUGUUUAUUUUUAUUGUCUGAAUCUAAAGGGUUUUGGCUUGGAAACAAGCAAAAUCCGGUUUGUCGCGAAUGUUUUUACAACUCUUAGCAACGGAUAUCUUGGUUCUC
rnacentral:misc_RNA from 1 species